UUCAAGUAAAGAAGGCGCCCCAGAUAAAAAGGCAGGCAGUCCAGACACCACAGCAUGUGCAUGCCACACGCAUGCGCCCCCCCAACCCCUAUGAUGAGAAGACACACCCUCGAGUGAUGAACUUCUUUCUGUGCUGGAGCCCAUGGGGUCCUCUGAGUCCCACUUCCUGCCUUCCUCAGGUACCUGCUUCUGACUGCAGAAGGCUCUUCCGUCCCAGGAUUGUGGUUUCUCACCAGUUUCUCAACAGUUUCCUUUGUUAUAAAACUUGAGAGAAAACAUUCCUCUAGUAGAAAGAGACUGCCUUCAUCCACCCUUUGGAAUAACCAGCUCCAGCCUAGGUCCCAUUUCCUGCACUGGUGGAAGAAAAGUCUCUUCUUCGCUAAGUGGUUCCUUUGAUGACCUUAUAGAUUCAGGCAGCUUGGGAAGGGAAGUUUCUCUAAAAGCCACAGAGCGUCCAGCUCAUGGAACCCUCAGGAUCCCUGGCCCAUCUUAGGCCACAUGGAGUCAGCCUCGUGCCCCCAGCCCAUCUGUUCCUGUGCACUGCACUCCAGUGGGUCUCACCCUUGCAUCCAGGGUUCUCUCCCACAGGAUGAGCUUGUCAACAUUCUCUUUUUCUAACACACACACUUGUCAGCAGGUGCUGGUAUAAGCCAAGCUGAGCUCGUGGGAGGAUGGCAAGAGAAUAGGCCCAACAGUCUUUGUGGGAGACAGAGCCCACGUUUCUCCACAAACAGCUUCCGGGAAGAGUGGACGGGUCAGACUAGACCAAACCAGCCUCUUGAGAACACCACACUGCCCAGACCCACUUAGUGCCUCCGUGUAACCCGCUGGUUAGAGUCCACCUGCUAGGCAGCCAGAAGCGGCAAAAGCCCAGCCCCACUGUCCCAUUCUUGACCUGGUCCUCCAUGCUCACUGUGACAGCAGCACAGGCACCCCGACCGGGCCACAGCGAGCUGGUGGCCAUGUCCCUGGCUCUGCUAACUUGGCCUAUCUCAUUUCUUAACCUGUUUUUCAUGAUGUGGACCUCUUGAGAGUAUACUUGAAAAAAGUGAAUUAUCUAUGUGGAUAAAGGACUGGUACACUAUGUUGAAAACGUAACAAACCAACCAGAUGGGAAAGCAUCUGUGCUAUGGGAC
rnacentral:lncRNA from 1 species